GGGGACUUCGGUCCGCCGGCGAGUGGCGAACGGGUGAGUAAAGUAUCGGAACGUACCUUUCAGUGGGGGAUAACGUAGCGAAAGUUACGCUAAUACCGCAUAUUCUGUGAGCAGGAAAGCAGGGGAUCGCAAGACCUUGCGCUGAUUGAGCGGCCGAUAUCAGAUUAGCUAGUUGGUGGGGUAAAGGCCUACCAAGGCGACGAUCUGUAGCGGGUCUGAGAGGAUGAUCCGCCACACUGGAACUGAGACACGGUCCAGACUCCUACGGGAGGCAGCAGUGGGGAAUUUUGGACAAUGGGGGCAACCCUGAUCCAGCCAUGCCGCGUGAGUGAAGAAGGCCUUCGGGUUGUAAAGCUCUUUCGGCCGGGAAGAAAUCGCACAGGCUAAUACCCUGUGUGGAUGACGGUACCGGAAUAAGAAGCACCGGCUAACUACGUGCCAGCAGCCGCGGUAAUACGUAGGGUGCGAGCGUUAAUCGGAAUUACUGGGCGUAAAGCGUGCGCAGGCGGUUUCGUAAGAAAGAGGUGAAAUCCCCGGGCUCAACCUGGGAACUGCCUUUGUGACUGCGAGGCUAGAGUAC
rnacentral:rRNA from 1 species